rnacentral:lncRNA from 1 species
AGACAGACUUGUUUUACAUUAAACCUUAUGUUUGUUUGAGAAUAAUUCUCUAUCGUUCCUUGUGAACAUUUCGAUCUUUGGUGGAUUCUCUUAUAAAUAUAUUUUUUUACAAAAUAAUUGAAGAUAUACUCGAUGAGCUUACAUAGACUCCCAACCAGAGGCGAAUCCACAGUGUUGAGUACGGGGGCACGUGCCCCCCGACUCCUUUAUAUAAAUUAUCUAAGACCAUGUCCAUCGGCGGUCCUUGCCGCAGGGUUCCCAAAAAAGGAAAAAAAUAAAUAAAUGAAAAAGGAGGAAAAAGGAUAGGACCGGUACUUAUUAUGGGAUUUUAGGAACUGGUAAGGAACCCUAGGUGGCAGUGUUUCAUUGGAUGUCGAGAUUGUAUCUCUCUCCUUUGUUCCGCUGUGAAACUUUAGGAGCUCGAGCUCCGACUCCCCUUCUUCUUCGUAUCAAGCUUCUCCAUAGCCGCUACAGCACUUCGUCAUCAAUCUGAGCUUCUCCGGCGAUAGCAUCAAGCCCUCUGGUCGUAACUGUGUUCACCAUUCCAAGCCGCCGCAUCUCUCCGCGACUCCCUAUCUCCGUUCAGCUCUAAACCGCGACAAAGCUUUCUCCAUGGCGUCAAUCCUCCACUGUCGUCGGAAUCAACGAGCUUCCGCCUCUUCAAGCCACCAUCCCCGUUACACUGCGACAGUAGCUCGCCUUCUUCGUCGAUCUCGAGUUUAGCCGUCGUCGUCUUGCUCGCAGUCUCACCUCCACCUUGGAUCUUCUUCAUCCUAGUCGCGAAUUUCCCACCGCUCGAUAAAAAGUUAAGGACCCCUAUGAAGUCCUACCAUUGGACAAAGAAAAAUUAAUUUAGCUAAAUAAAGGUCCUUAACCCUUACAAUCAUUGUUUUUAUUACUAAUUAAUUGUUAAGUACCCUUAAGGGCUCCUUACUGAUGGACAUGCUCUAAGUACUUGAGUAAAUGUCGAUGCCUGUAGGUCAAUUGGUUAAGGUGUCCCCAUCAGCUCUCGUGGACAUAGGUACGAUUCUUCUACAUUCCAUAUUUUAUGUUUUAUUUUAGUUUUGCUUUUCAGUUCUGAGUCUUCUGACUUUUUAGCUUGUCAGGUUUCCAUCAUUCAGUGGAACUAUUAAUUGCUCUGUACCAAGAUUUGAUUUAUUAUUAAUAAAUUCUUUUAUUUUCGUUAAUAUAAUUGCUUCUUUGAUUUAUUUAACUUUCACUAAAUUUUUUCGUUUUUUCGUUUCUAGAUUUCAUAUUUUCUGAAACAAUUUUUAAAUUUAUUAAUUCCUACAACUAACAUUAUCAGUUGCUAAUAAAUAAGAAAAUAAUUUUAUAUUAAGAUAGUAAACUAUAUAUUUACUUUGUAUUUAAUAUUUCAGAGAUUAUUUAUGUAUGAUAUAGUGAUAUGUAUAACUGUAAUACAAUCUAAAAUUAAAUACUACAUUAUAUAUGUAUACUAUAUAUAUUUAACUAAUUUUGAUUGUAGAAUUUUAUUAUUUUGAUUAAUAAUAUUUUUAGAUUUUUUAAGAACUAUUAAAAUAAUUUAUAAAACUUGGUAUAACUUGUAACAAUUACUAAAUAUUAUAUUAGUUUACAAGUUAUAAUUAAUAACUUUUUAUAAUACUUUUUUAUAUACUAAUAUUUUAACAGCUUUUAAUGUAAAUUAUUUUAAUAUAUAUAUUUAUCGUGUGCCCCCGCAAAUAAUUUUUCUGAAUCCCCCACUGCUCCCAACAUCCUAUCAAAGUAUAUAAUUGACUCGAUGAGCUUACAUAGAAAGAAGAAGCCUCAUCGUCUGCAUCCGCUCUUCCAAGUCCGAGUCCAUAACACUCCCAAUGCUUCCGAAAACUCCCUAGAUCGACAUGACCGUUUCGUUCAGAAUAUGAAACUCAUUUUUUAAAGAAAACAUCUGUCAGAGACUUUUCCGGAGAAUCUAUUUUCUGAGGUUUCUACUCGACUGAUUAGUUAUUUACUAGGAUAGGAUGCGCGUGAAUUUAUAUAAAAAUUAUUUAAGAAAUAUCGUAUGGAAAAAUAAAAUUUAUAUUCUUGAUCAAAUUAAUAUUUCUGGCCCUUAACAUUUUUCUAAAAACGUUUUUGUUAAUUACAUAAUUUAUUUACUGAUGAGCUCAUCUCAUUUUUAAAAAUAUUUUAGGUUAAAAAAUCACUUAUUGCAUAAGAACCUAACGUUUAUGCCGAAAAAUCUUAGGCCUACUAUUUGGUUACAAUGAAACUAUGUCAUUUCGGUUUUAUAUCAUGAUUUAGCAAUUUGAAAGUUAAUUAUGGUUAUGAGAAGUUUACGUUCACGUGCCAAAUCUAUCUUCAAUAUUUUUUCUCAUUUUUGUGUCGUUUUUUAUUUCAUUUUGGUUAUUGCUCAAUAUUAAUAUUGAUUUUUGAGUUUAUUCUUAUUUCAUUAUUUUAUUUUGACCCGAGAUUUAGAAAAUAUUUAAGAUUUAAAAUUAGUUAAGAGAUAAGGCCGAUGAGGACAAGGCAUUGUGGCAUCAGAGAUUAGGGCAUCCUGUCUCUGGUGUUUUAAGUUCUUUACCUUUCGUUUCUAGUGUUUUAGACAAUAGGGAGAAAUUUGGUGGUUGUGACAUUUGUUUAAAGUCCAAACAAACUCGAGGAGUGUUUUCUGAGAGUAUUAAUAAAGCUUAUGUUGCAUUUGAAUUGAUACAUGUUGAUCUUUGGGGUCCUUACCGCGAACCAUCCUCAUGUGGGGCCGUCUAUUUCCUUACAAUCGUCGACGACUUCUCCAGAGCGGUCUGGAUACAUUUGCUCCUUGGAAGUCGGAGGUCAAAAUGGUUUUACCCAACUUUUGUGCCUUGGCGCAAAGACAAUUUGGACGCUCAGUUCAAACGGUUUGAAGUGAUAAUGGAACAGAGUUUAUGUGUCUUUCAAAGUACUUCUCAGCCAAUGGAAUCAUUCAUCAUAUGUCUUGCGUGUCCACUCCACAACAGAAUGGUAGGGUUGAACGCAAACAUCGACACAUACUUAAGGUGUCGAGAUUGUAGAUGUUUCAAGCAAAUCUCCCCAUCAAGUUCUGAGACGAGUGUGUUCUUGCAGCUGCGCAUGUGAUCAACAGGAUGCCGUCGAGCCUGCUGCAUGGGAAGACUCCGUAUGAGUGCCUGUAUGGCAAACCUCCACGGUAUGAAGACAUCAAGGUCUUCGGGUGUUUGUGUUUCGCACACAAGGCAUCUCGUGACAAAGAUAAAUUCAAGGAGGGAAGCAGAAAGUGUGUCUUCGUGGUAUAUCCGUUUGGAAAACAUGGCUGGAAGUUGUAUGAUUUGGACAGUGGCGAGUUCUUUGUCUCACGUGAUGUUGUUUUCACUGAGACAUCAUUUCCUUAUGAUGAUAUCGCAGUUGCCUCCGGUGAUGCCACCACUCUGCCGGUGGCUCAAGAGACGAAUAUCAUGUGUUGCGAGUCACCGUUGUUGGAGUCAAGGGGAAGUGUCGAAGUAGAAGUUGCUGUAACUCCAACAGUGGAGGAUUCAACUGAGGCCGAGACUACUGAAGCAUCAGCCAAGCCUUCUGAUGUUGUCGUUGUCAGAAAGAGAGGUGCAGAAUCCAGUAACAGAGAGUGUUCAGGUGGAACAACUAGGGAGAGGACAUCGAGUCUCACAACCGUCCACAAGACUCAGAGACUAUGUAGCAUACAACUCCCAAUGUCUCAAUAAACAUAACACCACUCCUGCUUCGCCUGCAAUGCCAACAAGGUCCUCAGCGACGGUCCAAGGUACGUCAUCAUACCCCAUUUCUGCGUAUGUCUCUGAUGCAGUGUUCUCUGAGAAACAUCAAGUGUUCCUUGCAGCCAUAUCCUCAGAGAAAGAACCAAGAAACUUCAAAGAGGCGAUGCAAUAUCCACGCUUCAGAGACGUGAUAUCAACUGAGAUAGUAGCCCUGGAAGAACAGAGGACUUGGGAUGUGACAGACUUGCCGCGAGGAAAGAAAGCGCUGUCUUGUAUGUGGAUAUAUAAGUACAAGUUUAACGCUGAUGGUACGGUAGAAAAGCCCAAGGCUAGACUUGUAGUUUGCGGUAACAGACAAGUAGAGGGAGUAGAUUACAACGAGACUUUUGCUCCACUCGUGAAGUUAACGACGGUUCAAACAUUGUUGGAGGUUUCUGCGGCAAAGAACUGGGAGGUCCAUCAGAUGGACGUGCAUAAUGCAUUCCUCCAUGGAGAGUUAGAGGAGGAAGUCUAUAUGCAGAUGCCUCCUGGAUUCGAGUCAGGUGAGUAUGGUCAGGUGUGUCGCUUGAGAAAGUCUCUGUAUGGACUGAAACAAGCGCCGAGAUGUUGGUUUUCAAAGUUGACAGAUGCAUUGAAGAAGUUUUGGUUCAAGCAGUCGUAUUCUGACUAUUCUCUCUUCACAUACAUCAAAGGAGAUAGAUCACUUCGAGUACUUGUGUAUUUAGACGAUCUGAUCAUAGCGGGGAACGAUGUGAAGAUGGUGACAAAGUUCAAAGCGUAUCUGAGUGACUGCUUCAAGAUGAAAGACUUGGGGAAAGCCAAGUACUUCUUGGGUAUUGAGAUUGCGAGAGGACCAUAAGGGAUGUUCUUGACGCAGAGGAAGUAGGUACUUGACAUAGUAGCGGAUGCAGGCCUGCUUGAGUGCAAGUCAGUUGCGACUCCAAUGGAGCAAAAUCACAAACUCUUGUCGGAUAAAGGAUCGUUCUGUAAGGAUCCAGCUCGUUAUCGAUGGUUUGUGGGAAAAUUGGUCUAUCUGGUUAUAACGAGACCAGAGUUGAGCUACGCGGUGCAUGUGCUGUCUCAGGUUAUGCAACACCCGCGAGAGGCGCACUGGGAUGCUGUUGUACGAGUGAUAAGAUAUCUGAAGGGGUGCCCUGACCAAGGCAUUAUGUUGAAGUCGAUAAGUGAUCUGCGUCUGCGUGUGUUUUGCGAUGCGGAGUGGGCGGUGAUAGAACCAAAAUAAGGAUCACUCUUCGGUAAGGUUGAUAUGAACUCAGAUCCGAGAGGAUUGAGAACUGAUGGAUCGAGGGGUGACACUAAGGGUUACGGAAUAGCCCAAAGAUACUACCAGACUUCGAUCGUUGCCGGAUGUGACGCACCGGUCCAACAAAAGAAGGAUCGAAACUUGGAGAUAACCUCACCAAGAAACUAAGAACAAGUUCUACAAAGAACAAAGAGUUUUAACUCAACAAAAGGGGAAAACAAUCUGUCUUAUUUCGUGGCUCUAAGGCCUUAUUUAUAGGAUUACAAGUUGUAGAAAUCCAAAGAAGAAUGUGCUAAAAACAAGACAUAGAAACUAGAAAUGAAGACUUUGACUAAAGACCGAAAUUAAUGAUUUUUGUUGAAUUCUUUUUCCCAUGCACGACCAAGACUUCCUUGCUGACUCCCUCUUGGUAUUCUUGAUGAGAAUGUGCUUGAAAUGGACUGAGAAAAGGGCUGGUCGAAUUUGGAAAGAAACAAUCCCAUAAUGAACUUUUUAUGAACUUUUCUUUAGGCUGAAAAGGCCCAUUUCGCCCAGCAGCUGAACCAGCUCCAUCUUCAGUGUUACUUAGCUCAUUCAGCUCCAAGCUAGUAUCAUUUUGCUCACUCAGCUCAUCCAGCUCCAGAGUAGUGUCACUCAGCUCACUCAGCUCAUCUAGCUCGCCCAAGUAAGUGUUACCUCGUCCAGCUCGUCCAAAGUGGAUUCUAGCUCGACCAUAUGUCUUCAAAAGUGAAGUUGGACGGGAAAGACAAGCCCCAGUAUGGUCAGAUCGGUCAUCUGGCCAUGGUUCCAGCCAAAGCUCCUUUCCGGACGUAUGCGGGACGGUCCAGUACACUGCACGGUCAGUCUGUCCGGUACGGUGAAAAACAUGAACCUCGGUUGAAAUGUUCAGAACGUUCUGGUCUCCAGGCUGGUUCGGCUCCAUGUACUGAGCCGUGGACCGCGGUCUAUCAUUCCCUCCUUCUUCAAAAGGAUUUGUCCUCAAAUCCAAAGUACCUAUAUCAAAAAGAGAUGAAUCAGAUACAAAUGAAUUAAAAUUCAUGGAAAAUUCAGGGAAUGAAAAAUAUGGACAGAAACUUCCUUGGAGUUUUGAAGUCAUUUUCAUCAAGGAAUUCCAAGUACUUUGGCGUCCAUUGGUGCUUGCUCUGCUUAUAAACUGAUCAUGCUUAUCCUGUUUAUUCAAAGCAACUAGAGAAACCACAUCAAAUCUGCCAAAGAAAUAAUCAAAGGGUUUCUCUAUCCUUAAGACAUCAAAAUCAGGAUCCAUGCCCUUAGGAUAAUCAUCAAGGACGUGGGCAAGCAUUAAGCAAGUAAGCUGGUUGCCAAAAAUCGAUUUAUCAAUCUCAAAAUCAGGCCAAAGUGAGAAACUGUUAUGGAAAGAAAGAGACAAUGCCAAAUUUGAAAAAUUAUCAUCAUGAACGAAAUCAAAAGAAUUCUUUGGCCUAAGAAAUUUUAGUUCAUGCUCUUUCCUGCACCAAAUCUCUUUCAAAGCACAGCUCAAUGAAAUCAAUUCAUGAAAAGGUUUGAGCAAAACGGUUUUCAACCAAGUAAGAAUAUGUUUUCUUUUUGAAAUUCUCGUUUUCAAAACAUUUUCAGGAAGAGUAGAGGCAAUCAACUCAUGAUCCUUACAGUGCUUUUGGUUUAGACAGGAGAAUGACUGAGGAAACACCUUUGGUUCAUGGAGGAUCGGUUUUGGCUCAGGCCGAUUCUUUCUGGGGC